rnacentral:rRNA from 1 species
GACGAACGCUGGCGGCGUGCUUAACACAUGCAAGUCGAACGGAAAGGCCCUGCUUGCAGGGUACUCGAGUGGCGAACGGGUGAGUAACACGUUGGUGAUCUGCCCUGCACUUCUGGAUAAGCCUUGGAAACUGGGUCUAAUACCGGAUAUGAGCCCUUUUUAGUGUUAUGGUUGGAAAGUUUUUUCGGUGUUGGAUGAGCUCGCGGCCUAUCGGCUUGUUUGUGUGUUAAUGGCCUACCCAGGCGGCGUCGGGUAGCCGGACUGGGAGAGUGGGAGGCCACAUUUGGACUAGAUUCCGGCCCAGCCUACUAAGGGCGGCAGGAGUGGGGAAUGUUGCACGAUGGGUGCCGGCCAGAUGCAGGGACGCGGCGUGCGGGAUGACUGUCUUCCGGUUGCAAACAAGUUUAGCUAGGGACGAAGAUUUUUGUGACGUGACCUAGCUAAGAAGCACCGGCUAACUACGUG